rnacentral:rRNA from 1 species
GAAGCGGCAACAGCUCAAAUUUGAAAUCUGGCGCAAGCCCGAGUUGUAAUUUGUAGAGGAUGCUUCAGGGCAGCGGCCGGUCUAAGUUCCUUGGAACAGGACGUCAUAGAGGGUGAGAAUCCCGUAUGCGACCGGUUGGCACCCGUCACGUAGCUCCUUCGACGAGUCGAGUUGUUUGGGAAUGCAGCUCUAAAUGGGAGGUAAAUUUCUUCUAAAGCUAAAUACCGGCCAGAGACCGAUAGCGCACAAGUAGAGUGAUCGAAAGAUGAAAAGCACUUUGGAAAGAGAGUUAAAAAGCACGUGAAAUUGUUGAAAGGGAAGCGCAUGCAACCAGACUUGUCGGCGGUGUUCCACCGGUCUUCUGACCGGUUCAUUCGCCGCCGGCAGGCCAGCAUCAUCUGGGAGCGCCGGAUAAAGGCGUAGGGAAUGUGGCUCCUCGGAGUGUUAUAGCCCUUCGCACAAUACGGCGCCUCUCGGGUGAGGUCCGCGCUUCGGCUAGGAUGCUGGCGUAAUGGUUGUCUGCGGCCCGUCUUGAAACACGGACCAAGGAGUCUAACAUCUAUGCGAGUGUUCGGGUGUCAAACCCCUACGCGUAAUGAAAGUGAACGGAGGUGGGAAGCGCAAGCUGCACCAUCGACCGAUCCUGAUGUCUUCGGAUGGAUUUGAGUAAGAGCAUAGCUGUUGGGACCCGAAAGAUGGUGAACUAUGCCUGAAUAGGGUGAAGCCAGAGGAAACUCUGGUGGA